rnacentral:rRNA from 1 species
GGGGCGACCCGGCCGCCUCAGCGCCGGGGCCCCGGCGCGACCACACAACCCAACCCUGCAUCUCUGCGUCGGAGUGAACAAGCGAUGAAUCAAUCAAAAACUUUCAACAACGGAUCUCUUGGUUCUGGCAUCGAUGAAGAACGCAGCGAAAUGCGAUAAGUAAUGUGAAUUGCAGAAUUCAGUGAAUCAUCGAAUCUUUGAACGCACAUUGCGCCCCCCUGGCAUUCCGGGGGGGCAUGCCUCGUUCGAGCGUCAUUACACCACUCAAGCCUGGCUUGGGUAUUGGGCGUCGGGAUGCCACCCCCGCGCCUCAAAUGUCACCGGCUGGGACGGACCGUAUCUCAGCGUUGUGAAUCACAAGCUCGCUGCGAGGACGGGCCGGCCGCGCCGUUAAACACACCCCACUCACAGGUUGACCUCGGAUCAGGUAGGGAUACCCGCUGAACUUAA